GGUGGUUCUCAGGUGACGCACCCCAGAAUCGGACUCUCUCCUCUCUGGUUCCUGGUGUGUCACCCGGGAACCACA
rfam:Myotis davidii contig136371, whole genome shotgun sequence.